AUUGAACGCUGGCGGCAGGCCUAACACAUGCAAGUCGAACGAGUGGCGGACGGGUGAGUAAUGUCUGGGAAACUGCCUGAUGGAGGGGGAUAACUACUGGAAACGGUAGCUAAUACCGCAUACCAUCGGAUGUGCCCAUAUGGUAUUAGCUAGUAGGUGGGGUAAAGGCUCACCUAGGCGACGAUCCCUAGCUGGUCUUAGAGGAUGACCAGCCACACUGGAACUGAGACAGGGUCCAGACUCCUACGGGAGGCAUCAGUGGGGAAUAGUGCACAAUGGGCGCAAGCCUGAUGCAGCCAUGCGGCGUGUAUGAAGAAGGCCGUCGGGUUGUAAAGUACUUUCAGCGGGGAGGCGGGAGCCGAAGAAGAAGCACCGGCUAACUCCGUGCCAGCAGCCGCGGUAAUAG
rnacentral:rRNA from 1 species